rnacentral:rRNA from 1 species
GACGUAGGGUGCGAGCGUUGUCCGGAUUUCUUGGGCGUAAAGAGCUCGUAGGCGGCUCGUCGCGUCGACCGUGAAAACCCACAGCUUAACUGUGGGCUUGCGGUUGAUACGGGCGGGCUAGAGUUCGGUAGGGGAGACUGGAAUUCCUGGUGUAGCGGUGAAAUGCGUAGAUAUCGUGAGGAAGACCAGUGGCGAAGGCGGGUCUCUGGACAGUUCCUGACGCUGAGGCGCGAAGGCCAGGGGAGCAAACGGG